AGUGAACGCUGGCGGUAGGCCUAACACAUGCAAGUCGAACGGCAGCACAGUAAGAGCUUGCUCUUACGGGUGGCGAGUGGCGGACGGGUGAGGAAUACAUCGGAAUCUACUUUUUCGUGGGGGAUAACGUAGGGAAACUUACGCUAAUACCGCAUACGACCUACGGGUGAAAGCAGGGGAUCUUCGGACCUUGCGCGAUUGAAUGAGCCGAUGUCGGAUUAGCUAGUUGGCGGGGUAAAGGCCCACCAAGGCGACGAUCCGUAGCUGGUCUGAGAGGAUGAACAGCCACACUGGAACUAAGACACGGCCCAGACUCCUACGGGAGGCAGCGGUGGGGAAUAUUGGACAAUGGGCGCAAGCCGGAUCCAGCCAUACCGCGUGGGUGAAGAAGGCCUUCGGGUUGUAAAGCCCUUUUGUUGGGAAAGAAAAGCAGCAGGUUAAUACCCCGCUGUUCUGACGGUACCCAAAGAAUAAGCACCGGCUAACUUCGUG
rnacentral:rRNA from 1 species